AGUAUUGUGGCCGAGCGGUCUAAGGCGUUAGGUUCAAGCUCUAAUCACAUUGUGGUCGCGGGUUCGAAUCCCGUCAAUACUA
rnacentral:tRNA from 1 species